CCUACGGGAGGCAGCAGUGGGGAAUAUUGGGCAAUGGGCGCAAGCCUGACCCAGCAACGCCGCGUGAAGGAUGAAGGUUUUCGGAUUGUAAACUUCUUUUGUACGGGACGAUGAAAGUGACGGUACCGUAAGAAUAAGCCACGGCUACCGACGUGCCAGCAGCCGCGGUAAUACGUAGGCGGGCAGCGUUAUCCGGAUUUACUGGGAGUAAAGGGUGAGGAGGCGGGAUUGGAAGUCAGAUGUGAAAACUAUUGGCUCAACCGAUGGAGUGCAUUUGAAACUGCAGUUCUUGAGUGAUGGAGAGGCAGGCGGAAUUCCCGGUGUAGCGGUGGAAUGCGUAGAGAUCGGGAGGAACACCAGUGGCGAAGGCGGCCUGCUGGACCUUAACUGACGCUGAGGCGCGAAAGCGUGGGGAGCAAACAGGAUUAGAUACCCGAGUAGUC
rnacentral:rRNA from 1 species